GACGAACGCUGGCGGCGUGCUUAACACAUGCAAGUCGAACGAAGUGGCGAACGGGUGAGUAACGCGUAAUCAACCUGCCCUUCAGAGGGGGGCAACAGUUGGAAACGACUGCUAAUACCGCAUACUGAAGGAGGGGAUUGCGUCUGAUAAGCUAGUUGGAGGGGUAACGGCCAACCAGGGCGAUGUCAAGUAGCCGGUCUGAGAGGAUGAGCGGCAACGUUGGGAAUGGGAACGUGCCCAGACUCCUACGGGAGGCAGCAGUGGGGAAUCUUCCGCAAUGGACGAAAGUCUGGCGGAGAAACGCCGCGAGAGUGGUGACGGCCUUCGGGUUGGAAAGCUCUGUUAAUCGGGACGCGGUACCGGAAUAGAAAGCCACGGCUAACUACGUGCCAGCCGCGGCGGUAAUUC
rnacentral:rRNA from 1 species